GAAGUCCCGGCUAACUUCGUGCCAGCAGCCGCGGUAAUACGAAGGGGGCUAGCGUUACUCGGAAUUAUUGGGCGUAAAGCGUGCGUAGGCUGCUUAGUAAGUCAAAAGUGAAAGCCUUGGGCUCAACCUAAGAAUUGCUUUUGAAACUACUAAGCUUGAGUACUGUAGGGGGUAGCGGAAUUCCUAGUGUAGGGGUGAAAUUCGUAGAUAUUAGGAGGAACACCGGAGGCGAAAGCGGUUAUCUGGACAGUCACUGACGCUGUUGCACGAAAGCGUGGGGAGCAAACAGGAUUAGAUACCCUGGUAGUCCACGC
rnacentral:rRNA from 1 species